CAUAAAGGUUUGGUCCUGGCUUUACUAUCAACUCUAACCUGAUUUACACAUGCAAGUCUCCGCACUCCUGUGAGAAUGCCCUUAUUGUCCUGCCUAGGAACUAAGGAGCAGGUAUCAGGCACGAUUUGUCAGCCCAACACACCUUGUUUUGCCACCCCCCCACGGGUAAUCAGCAGUGAUAAACUUUUAGCUAUAAGUGAAAACUUGACUUAGUUAAGGUUAAGAGGGUCGGUAAACCUCGUGCCAGCCACCGCGGUUAAACGGGAGACUCAAGUUGAAAGACAGCGGCGUAAAGCGUGGUUAAGACACUUGCUAAAUAGGGCCGAAUGACCUCAAAACAGUCAAAUCUAUUCGAGACCACGAAGCACAUCUACGAAGGUGGCCCUAAUGCCUCUGACCCCACGAAAGCCAUAACACAAACUGGGAUUAGAUACCCCACUAUGUAUGGCCGUUAAAAUUGAUGGUACUUCACUCGAACCAUCCGCCAGGGAAUUACGGGCCCCAGCUUAAAACCCAAAGGACCUGGCGGUGCUUUAGAUCCCCCUAGAGGAGCCUGUCCUAUAACUGACAACCCCCGUUGAACCUCACCACCCCUUGUCAAUUCCGCUUAUAUACCACCGUCGUAAGCUUACCCUAUUGAAGGUUAUAAAAGUAGGCCCUAAUAGUAAUACUAGAGACGUCAGGUCGAGGUGUAGCGCAUGGGGCGGGAAGAGAUGGGCUACAUUCCCUAAUGAAGAGAACACGAACGGCGAUUUGAAAAAAUCACACUGAAGGAGGAUUUAGUAGUAAGAAAGGAACAGAGUGCCCUAUUGAAGAUGGCCCUAAU
rnacentral:rRNA from 1 species